rnacentral:miRNA from 1 species
UUUGUAUUACGUGCGGAAAUUGUUACCAUUUUUGAGCCGAAAAUGGUAACAAUUCCCGCACGUAAUACAAA